CAUUUAGAAGCUUCUCUGUAGCAACAAGGAUGGAACCAACAACAACACGAGGAGCUGAUUUUGCCGAGCUACCAAGAGGAGCUCUUGUUUGGUUGAACUGAUCAUCUAAUGUUGAUCCUUCUUGAAGUAUAAUUUCAUGUGGCAGAAGGGAGGAGGGGUUUGUUGUUCAUACUAUGGAAUUGGUAAUAAUUUUAUCCUUCUGCCUUCGUUGUACAGCAUUUACGUCUCUUCAAUGUUUGACAUGAAAUGCAAACCAUGACAUAUGGAAUUAGAACAAUAGAGGAUUGAGUUAUAUACUUUUCAAGCAAAAGAGAAAACAAUCUCAAAUUUACUACAUUUGCCAUUAACUAGCUUUCCUAAACAAGGCUGGGAAUUUUUAAUAAAAUUCUUGAAACUCUGGAACGUGGUUGUUUUAAUUAUUCCAAAAAUCCAUUCCACUAUAUGCCUUGGUGCUUAAUUCAAGUGGCAAAAGUUGAGGAAUUUAUGACUUAGAUAUCAAGUACGAGCCCUGCGCCAUGGCAUGUUAGCACCCCAUUAGACUACCAACAGUUUACACAUGUAACUAUUACUUUGGCCCGAGAUGGGGUUGUUGUUUAUACAGAUGCAGGUCUACAUAGGGAGAAGGAUAAAGAAAGCAUUGGAAUGGCGGCUAUAGAUAGUUGUGGUCAUUUUUUUGAUGCCUUUGGUACCCCUUAUUCAAUUUGUAGGGAAGGACAUAACUGCUGAAGCACUAGCAAUUCGGGAAGCUGUGGAAAGAGCACUACAAAAGGGUUGGUCAAAGGUUCACAUACUGAUGCAAAGAAUGUCAUACAAAUGUUGCAAAAGAAUUUGAUAACAUCUUUGGAAAUAGAGACCAUUUGCAAGAAUGUCUGGCAAUAGAUGAAGUCUUUUGAAGAAAUCGAGAAGGUGCAGGGACGAAAAGUGAGGCGGAAAGGUGGAGGAGGAGACGGUGCAGAUGGAGAGAGCAGAGAAUAUGGCGGCGGCGGAGGUAGUGGUUGUGGUGGUGGAGGUUGAGGUGAUGUCGUGAUGAUGAUGACGGAAGAGGGGGUGAGGGGACGGGGAGGGAGAGGGGGAGACAGGAGCUUUGUGUAAAUAACAAUAUCUGAUGACCUUUAAAAAUUAGUUCAUUAACAAUAAUCUCGAUUGUAAACAUUAAAGCUUUUAAAGAUUUUUAAUAUCAGCACCAGAAAUCCUAUUACAAUGCUCUGGUGAUGUGCCGACCUUUUCAUUUGAUAGCCAAAAUUAUGUGAUUGUCCUAUC